GACGAACGCUGGCGGCAUGCUUAACACAUGCAAGUCGAACGAGAAUCAACGGAUCAAGGAUUCGUCCAAGUGAAGUUGAGGACAGUGGCGGACGGGUGAGUAACGCGUGAGGAACCUGCCUUUCAGAGGGGGACAACAGUUGGAAACGACUGCUAAUACCGCAUAACGCGUAGAGGUCGCAUGGCCUUUACGCCAAAGAUUUAUCGCUGAAAGAUGGCCUCGCGUCUGAUUAGCUAGUUGGUGAGGUAACGGCCCACCAAGGCGACGAUCAGUAGCCGGACUGAGAGGCUGAACGGCCACAUUGGGACUGAGAUACGGCCCAGACUCCUACGGGAGGCAGCAGUGGGGAAUAUUGGGCAAUGGGGGAAACCCUGACCCAGCAACGCCGCGUGAAGGGAAGAAGGGCCUUCGGGUUGUAACGUCUUUAGUCAGGGACGAAGAACGUGACGGUACC
rnacentral:rRNA from 1 species